GAAAUGCGAUAAGUAGUGUGAAUUGCAGAAUUCAGUGAAUCAUCGAAUCUUUGAACGCACAUUGCGCCCUUUGGUAUUCCAAAGGGCAUGCCUGUUCGAGCGUCAUUUGUACCCUCAAGCUUUGCUUGGUGUUGGGCGUCUUGUCUCUAGCUUUGCUGGAGACUCGCCUUAAAGUAAUUGGCAGUCGGCCUACUGGUUUCGGAGCGCAGCACAAGUCGCACUCUCUAUCAGCAAAGGUCUAGCAUCCAUUAAGCCUUUUUUCAACUUUUGACCUCGGAUCAGGUAGGGAUACCCGCUGAACUUAAGC
rnacentral:misc_RNA from 1 species